CCUACGGGAGGCAGCAGUGGGGAAUAUUGCGCAAUGGGCGAAAGCCUGACGCAGCGACGCCGCGUGAGGGAUGAAGGUCUUCGGAUCGUAAACCUCUGUCAGCAGUGAAGAACGGUCACUGUGCUAAUCAGCAGUGAAUUGCCGGUACCUGCAAAGGAACAGCCGGCUAAAUACGUGCCAGGCACCGCGGGAAUACGGAGGGUGCGAGCGUUAAUCGGAAUUACUGGAGGUAAAGCGCUCGUAGGCGGUAUGUCAAGUCAAGGGUGAAAUCCCCGCGCUCAACGUGGGAACUGCCUUUGAAACUGGCAAUCCGGAGUGGGUGAGAGGAUAGUGGAAUUCCAGGUGUAGGAGUGAAAUCCGUAGAUAUCUGGAGGAACAUCAGUGGCGAAGGCGACUAUCUGGCACAUAACUGACGCUGAGGAGCGAAAGCGUGGGUAGCAAACAGGAUUAGAUACCCGAGUAGUC
rnacentral:rRNA from 1 species